rnacentral:lncRNA from 1 species
GACUUCUGCAGGCUCGGGCCUCACUUUCUCCACCGUGGCCUCAAAAGCUCCUUGCUCGUCCGAAAGGCCAGUAGCUGCAGCCUUGAUGGGAGGUGUGGCACCCUAUGAAAAAAUCCAAGAUAAUCCGGCAGUGAAAAACUAGGAGUCCAAAAUAUUCAGAUUUGGACUUGUAAAGACCUACAAACUUAUAGCAUUUCCCCCAGUUAAAAGAAAAACAAAUAUAUAAGGGCAGAAGAAGUAAAAACAAAAAGAAACGAAGAAGGCACCUCCACAGGCAUAGCAACAAUCACGUGACCUGGCGCCCCAGGUUUCCAAGCAGCCAAUCUGCAUGAACACAGGCACAGAGUUCCUGGACACGGAGGACGCAAACAGGCUGACGGUUCAUUAAACGGUGGGUCCCAGGAGACAGCCAAAGCUUCCUACCAUAUGGGAAUAAAUAAGCAAAUAAAGGUGCUGUGAAGUGUAAUUUGUUACGGGAAUGAUGAAGAAAUAAUUCCAAGCUUUAUAAGGUUAAAAAAUUUGUGUGACUGAUAUGUGGGAAUAAAAUGUCAUACAUGGGCAGUAAAAGUGCAGAUGCCCACUGUCUGUCCAGGAGGAUUACAGAGUCAUAGAAUCCUGGAUUUGGAGGGAACGUCAGGCGUUGUCUUGUUUGACAUCCUCCUCUCCAGUACUCUGAAAGGCAUCAUUCAAAGCCUGAGCUGUAUCAGAAGACAGACCUGCUCCUUUUUAGCAGAACUUCAGAGACAGAGAAACUCCACCUAUGAGUGAAAGUUCUGAAGUCCAGAGAAAGAAGGUGAUCCUUCCAGAGCUGCAGCCAGGACAGAGCGCAGACCUGGACUUCUGACACCCAGCCCCAUGACUCCAGUGCUCCCGCACACAUUCUGACACCAUACCCCUAUUCUGUUUGAAAUGAACCUUCUUGUGAUUGCUUCGGGAAAUAAUUCAAUCUGAGUUAGCUGUGGUGUGCGUCCCUUUUCCAUAAGCACUAAACUUCAGAGCUACAGUGCCCCCCAACAGAC